GCACAAAUAUUUCCAAAGCCUUAAAAACUUACCUUUCAUUAGCUGCAGAACUGGUCUCUGCAGCUAGUGAAAAUCCACUCUGUGACCCCCACACAAAGGAGCUUUGACACUGUGUAUGUAACUUACUAAGCCAAGGGAGGCCUGGCCAAGGGACCAACGUGUCUGUGUUUAGCACACAGUGUGUUCUAUGUGUGUGUGUGGAUACCAGAUGCAAAUGUUGCCCAAAAAUUAUAAUACUAGCCUCUUAGAGAGUGUUCCACAUCAACACACAUUUUAAAAACUAUAUAUCGAGGGGAAACAGUGGUAUCCUAGCUCGGAUCGGGAUCGUAUAUAUGCAGUGUUAGCUCCUGACAAACCUGUCCUGAGGCCAAGCGACAUUAUAAGGGACCAUUGCAGAUUCUUUUUUUUUUUUUAAGAUUGCUCAGCAACUUUAUUGGACUGAAAAUCCACCCUCCAGGACCCACAGUUUUAUUGAGGGCCAAAAAGAGAUGGAACACCAAUGACAGGACCAGCUAUGAUCUCAUCAAGAUGGCAGCUAUACUUCCGUGCAAACACCUCUCCAACACGGUCUUCAAAUUAGCUCUGCUAUGCCCACCUACAAAAGAUCUAUUGGUAACCAAGAAGAAUCUCCAAGGCAUGUUACACUCUCCACCAACAACAAUAAAGGCUGAGUUUAAGAGCGGUAAUGAGAGUGUAUAGAUCAUCUAGAGGCCAAAAUGGAUGGGAACAGCUCACAACAAACUGUUUGGUAAGUUUACUUCACUGGGAGGGAAUCUUACUCACAAAGCUUAAAAAGACAGCAGACAUAGUCCUGCAGGAAUAGUA